rnacentral:rRNA from 1 species
GACGAACGCUGGCGGCGUGCUUAACACAUGCAAGUCGAACGAGAAGAGAUGAGAAGCUUGCUUCUUAUCGAUUCGAGUGGCAAACGGGUGAGUAACGCGUAAGCAACCUGCCCUUCAGAUGGGGACAACAGCUGGAAACGGCUGCUAAUACCGAAUACGUUCUUUUGUCGCAUGGCAGAAGGAAGAAAGGGAGGCUCUUCGGAGCUUUCGCUGAAGGAGGGGCUUGCGUCUGAUUAGCUAGUUGGAGGGUAACGGCCCACCAAGGCGACGAUCAGUAGCCGGUCUGAGAGGAUGAACGGCCACAUUGGAACUGAGACACGGUCCAGACUCCUACGGGAGGCAGCAGUGGGGAAUCUUCCGCAAU